rnacentral:lncRNA from 1 species
GGGGCUCUAGAGCCCGGCGGGCCGCGAGCGCCGCAGGGGCAGCGCCGGCCCGUCCUCCCUCAGCACUACGGACACCACGGCGGCGGCGGCUGCCCGGCUCCGGGCUGUAGCUGUUGUUGCCAUGAUGAUGAUGUCACGGACGCAACCAUUGGGGGGAGUGGGGGGAGGACGGGCCAUGGUUUGGGGGGAAGCGAGGGAGAGAGGUGUCUUAUUCCCCCCCACCACCAGUCCGGCUCAGCAGACGUGCGUAAGGCUUCGGAGGUUUUUUUUCUCCCCCAAAUUAUUAUUCUCCCCCCCACCCUUUUCUUCCCUGGGUAGCAAGAAGCGGGGGGUGGGGCGGGGGGAGCUCGAUGAUUCGGUGAUCGGCCGCCGAGGUCGGGGCGAGGCUGCGGAAUUCCGAGCCGCGGAUUGGACAGGCCGGGGGUGGGGGGAGGAUGAGGGAACGCCGCCGGGCCAGGAUUGGGUUAAGCUGGGUCGGCCGCCAUUUUGGAUGCUGAGCCGUCUUGCUGCGGGAAGAUUGAGAGCACACUUCUACUUUUUGUAUUCUUUUUGCAAUCAAGUGAAGAAGUUAGCCUCCAGGGUCACGCCAAGGUCUUGCCUUUGCCUCCCAUGAAAAAAACCUACCAGUGAACGUGCAUGCAGAAAACACAUAAGUAUUCAACAAAAAAAAUCACCUCAAAU